UGGAUGGAUGGAUGGAUGGAUGGAUGGAUGGAUGGAUGGAUGGAUGAUGGAUGGAUGAUGGAUGGAUGGAUGGAUGAUGGAUGAUGGAUGAUGGAUGGAGGAUGGAUGGAUGGAUGGAUGGAUGGAUGGAUGGAUGGAUGGAUGGAUGGAUGGAGCAGCCCCUUCCCCAUCCCCACAGCCCCCAGGGAGCAGGAGGGGAUCCCGGAGGGCUCUCAGGGCACAUCCCCCUCUGGCCAGGCUCUGAGCCCCUCCCCACGGCACCGCCCUGACCCCGCAGCGCUGCUCAGGCUCACCUGGAGGGAAGGGGCAGAGGUGCCCACCCUGCCCCAGCUCAGCUGUGGGCACCAGGAGCCGCCCUGGGGAGCAGCGCAGCGCCCCCCAAACCCCUCCGUGCCCAGGCCGGAGCGGCUCGGUGCCCUCAGAGCGUUGCUGCUGCCCCAGGGAGGUUUUCCCUCUCCAGGGGGGUUUUCCCCUCUCCAGACCUUCGGGGAUAAAUCCGUCCCUGCUGCACCUCUGCCCGCAGCCUGGGAGGGUGUGAGCAGCGCACGGAGCCUCUCUGCUGCCCGUACCCACAGCCUCGGCUCUCCUGGGGGAUCAGCUCCCUCUGGAUGUGGCUGGGAAUCCCGGAGCUGGGACUGGCACCCGGCACUGGGAAUGGCACCUGGGACUGGGAAUGGCUCCCAGGACUGGGAAUGGCUCCCGGGACUGGGACUGGCACCCGGCACUGGGAAUGGCAUCCGGGACUGGGAAUGGUUCCCAGGACUGGCACCCGGCACUGGGAAUGGGAUCUGGGACUGGGAAUGGCACCUGGGACUGGGAAUGGGUCCCAGGACUGGGAAUGGGUCCCGGGACUGGGAAUGGCUCCCAGGACUGGGAAUGGCUCCCAGGACUGGGACUGGCAUCCGGGACUGGGAAUGGGUCCCAGGACUGGGAAUGGCACCCGGGAUAGGGAAUGGCACCUGGGAAUGGCAGCCAGGACUGGGAAUGGCUCCCAGGUCUGGGACUGGCACCCGGGACUGGGAAUGGCUCCCGGGACUGGGAAUGGCACCCGGGAUAGGGAAUGGCAGCUGGGAAUGGCAGCCAGGACUGGGAAUGGCACCCGGGACUGGGAAUGGCACCUGGGAAUGGCUCCCAGGACUGGGACUGGCAUCCGGGUCUGGGAAUGGCUCACGGGACUGGGAAUGGUACCCGGGACUGGGAAUGGCACCCAGAACUGGGAAUGGCUCCCGGGACUGGGAAUGGCACCUGGGACUGGGAAUGGCUCGCGGGACUGGGAAUGGCUCCCAGGAUGGGGGAUGGCACCUGGGACUGGCACCUGGGACGGGACUGGCACUUUGCUCUGGGCUCCAGCUCUCCAUGGGGCUGUUCCCUCCUGGAGCAGGGAGUCAUUCCUUCAGCAAUCCUUGGAAAAUGCGUGGUGGGAGGGAAAAUGAGGAGAGUCUGGAGCUCCCCGGGGUUCCUGGAGCGGCUCCUCCUGGUGCCAGCGCUCGGAGCUCCCCGGGAGCGUGCCGGUGCCGCCAGAGCUCUGUCCCAGACAAGUCUCCAGACGUCUGCAUUGCUUGAGGUUUGCCCAGCCCUGCUCCGUUCCCUUCCCGCUAUUUCCAGCCUGAAUUGUUCCCUAAUUGAUUCCAGCGGAUGGGGAAGAGCAGGAACAGCCCCCAGCCCCCAGUGACGCAUUUGGGGCCGUGUUUUCCUGAUCCCUCCUGGUCCCUCCUGGUUCCCUCUUUUCCUGACCCCUCCUGGUCCCUCCUGGUUCCUUCUUUUCCUGACCUGUCCUCGUUCCUUCUUUUCCUGAUCCCUCCUGAUCCCUCCUCGUUCCUCCUGGUCCUGUCUUUUUCUGGUUCUCUUUUCCGGGUUCCCUCCUCAUUCCCUCUUUUCCUGGUCCCUCCUGGUUCCCUCAUUUCCUGACCCCUCCUGGUUCUCUUUUCCUGGUUCCUCAUGGUUCCCUCUUUUCCUGAUCCCUCCUGGUCCCUCCUGUUUCCCUCUUUUCCUGUUUCCCUCUUUUCCUGUUUCCCUCUUUUCCUGGUUCCCUCCUGCAGCUGGAGCCGGGCUGGGUCCUCCCACUGCCAUCUUUCCUCCCACAGAGGAAUUUCCUUGGCAUCAGGGCUGCCCUUCCCAGGGCUCCUGCUGGGAGCUGCAGCUCAGCAGGCAGGACAUGGGCAUGGCUCCUUCAGGAACCUGGGGUGAGGAAUUCUGGUGUUCCCGGGGGAGCAGAGCCUGGAUCAGGGCAGGAACCCCCCCAGGCACCAUCCCGGAGAUCCCUGAGCUGUCGUUGUGCACUUUUCCUGCUCGUUUUUCCCAUUCCCACACUCUGGGAGUGGGAAUAAUCUUCCAGGAGUGCCGGUGCCCAGCUGAGCCGUGCCACAUUUCCCACGGGGAGAUAUUCAGAUCCAAAUCCAAUAUUCCUGCUGAAGGUCAAGGCAAACUGCUGGGGGGAAUCCUGUGGAGCCAGGCCAGCAUUCCCAGGAUCAGGAAAAGGCCCUGCUGGCUCCUGGUUAUCCUUGCACAACCGUUUUCCCCAAAAAUCCCCCCAAAAGGGGAGGGCCUUAGGGUUUCCACCUUGUGAGAGAAUUCCCAACAUUUGCCAAUGCCCAAAACCUGGGGAAAACAGGAAUUUCUUCCCUCCUAAACUUUUUUUAUGGGGUGGAACAUUCCUUUCUUUAGAAUUCCAGCUUUUCCAAGGAAAUUUUGCCAGAAUUUCUGGGAUUUUUUCCCCUCCAGAAUCACACCCAGAACUCCCCAAUUUUCCAGAGAAUUCCAGAGGGUUCCAAUCCCCUUGGUAUUGAUCAGCUCCCAACAACCCCAGUUCCAGGUAACCCCUUUUAUCCCAGGGAUUUCAUGGAUAUUUGAUUCCCACUUGGAGUGUAAAUAUUUGGUGCCAGGCCGAGCUCUGAUCUCCACAGCUGGAAAAAACCCAGCUGGAGGCUGGCAGGGAUUAAACCCCAAAGUUAAAUCCCUCUUCUCCACCUCUGGGAUAAAAUUCCAGCCCUUUUAGGCUGAGUUUAGGGGGAGAAAAACCUCCUGGAAGCCUCAUCCAUUAAAAAAAAUCCCAUUCUUGUCUCAUCCCUGGGCAGGAUUUCCCAGGUUUUGGAGCGCCAAUUGGAAUUUUCAUUGGAAAAUGUUGGGAAUUUCCGUGGCUUUCCAGCAUUUUUUUUUCCCUCAUUUCAUGCAUCCUCCCAUCCACCACAUCAAGGAGCAGCCUCUGCUCCCGGCAGGCGAGGAGCUGUGGCAAAAGGCAGCCACAGAUUUGUCUUGCAUUUGGUUUUUUUUGAAUUUUUUUCCUUUUUUUUUAACCAGAAAGCAGGAAUUUUGGCUGUUCCCUCAGGAAAAGCUCUAUUCCUGGGAUUCUUUUGUCUCGCCAGCUGAUGGUUGGGCGAAAGAAUAGGAUGAAAUCAAUGUGCAGAGCGAGGUCAGGGUUUGGGACAACAACAACAACAACACUUGGAGGCAGAGCUGUAAAUUCCACCCCAUCCCUCCAUUCCCACAUGGAUCCGCCUCUCCUGAUCCAUGGGGACAAUCCAAACAACAAAAUUCCUUUGGAUUUUGGAGAUUCAGCACAAAAUAAAUACAUUUUUCCCCCUUCUUCCUUGCA
ensembl:lncRNA